rnacentral:rRNA from 1 species
AGGACGAACGCUGGCGGCGUGCUUAACACAUGCAAGUGGAGCGACGAACCAGGCUUCGGCCUGGGGCAGAGCCGCGAACGGGUGAGUAACACGUGGGUAACCUGCCCUGAUGAUUGGGACAACCCGAGGAAACUCGGGCUAAUACCAAAUGUGCCCUCUGGCCUCAAGGCCUCUGGGGAAAGGAAGCUUCGGCCUCCGCAUUGGGAUGGGCCCGCGGCCCAUUAGCUUGUUGGUGAGGUAACGGCUCACCAAGGCUACGAUGGGUAGCUGGUCUGAGAGGACGAUCAGCCACACUGGGACUGAGACACGGCCCAGACUCCUACGGGAGGCAGCAGUGGGGAAUCUUGCGCAAUGCGCGAAAGCGUGACGCAGCAACGCCGCGUGGGGGAAGACGGCCUUCGGGUUGUAACCCUUUCAGUUGGGACGAAGCUUUGCCGGUGAACAGCCGGUUGGAGUGACGGUACCUUCAGAGAAGCCCGGCUAACUACGUGCCAGCAGCCGCGGUAAUCUA